rnacentral:rRNA from 1 species
UCCUACGGGGGGCAGCAGUGAGGAAUAUUGGUCAAUGGUCGGGAGACUGAACCAGCCAAGCCGCGUGAGGGAUGAAGGUACAGAGUAUCGUAAACCUCUUUUGUCAGGGAACAAAGGCGGGGACGUGUCCCCGGAUGAGUGUACCUGAAGAAAGAGCAUCGGCUAACUCCGUGCCAGCAGCCGCGGUAAUACGGAGGAUGCGAGCGUUAUCCAGAUUUAUUGGGUUUAAAGGGUGCGCAGGCGGUCUGUUAAGUCAGCGGUCAAAGCCCGGGGCUCAACCCCGGCCCGCCGUUGAAACUGGCAGG